CCUACGGGGGGCAGCAGUGGGGAAUAUUGCACAAUGGGCGCAAGCCUGAUGCAGCCAUGCCGCGUGUGUGAAGAAGGCCUUCGGGUUGUAAAGCACUUUCAGCGGGGAGGAAGGCGUUAAGGUUAAUAACCUUGGCGAUUGACGUUACCCGCAGAAGAAGCACCGGCUAACUCCGUGCCAGCAGCCGCGGUAAUACGGAGGGUGCAAGCGUUAAUCGGAAUUACUAGGCGUAAAGCGCACGCAGGCGGUCUGUCAAGUCGGAUGUGAAAUCCCCGGGCUCAACCUGGGAACUGCAUUCGAAACUGGCAGGCUAGAGUCUUGUAGAGGGGGGUAGAAUUCCAGGUGUAGCGGUGAAAUGCGUAGAGAUCUGGAGGAAUACCGGUGGCGAAGGCGGCCCCCUGGACAAAGACUGACGCUCAGGUGCGAAAGCGUGGGGAGCAAACAGGAUUAGAUACCCGUGUAGUC
rnacentral:rRNA from 1 species